rnacentral:rRNA from 1 species
AUUGAACGCUGGCGGCAGGCCUAACACAUGCAAGUCGAACGAGUGGCGGAAGGGUGAGUAAUGUCUGGGAAACUGCCUGAUGGAGGGGGAUAACUACUGGAAACGGUAGCAAAUAACGCAUACCAUCGGAUGUGCACAGAUGGGAUUAGCUAGUAGGUGGGGUAAAGGCUCACCUAGGCGACGAUACCUAGCUGGUCUGAGAGGAUGACCAGCCACACUGGCACUGGGCCACGGUCCCGACUCCUACGGGAGUCAUCAGUGGGGAAUAUUUCACAAUGGGCGCAAGCCUGAUGCAGCCAUGCCGCGUGUAUGAAGAAGGCCUUCGGGUUGUAAAGUACUUUCAGCGGGGAGGCGUUACCCGCAGAAGAAGCACCGGCUAACUCCGUGCCAGCAGCCGCGGUAAUUC